UCAUCUUCAUGUAAUAUAUAAACACGCUGUUUGAGAAGCUCAAUUGCAGGUAAGAAUUUUUUCUUUCUUCCACGACGUUCCUCCUUGGUUGGGAAGGGCGAAGAUCAUCUCCAAGCUCAUCCUUUUAUGGGAACCUCUCCGGAUUGAUAUUGAGAUGUUAUUCAUCGACAAACAAAACUACUGAAGUCGAACCAACUCCAGAAGAUAUAUAAAUGGACUAAGGAGAGGAAGAAACUGCAGAAAGUAACUUCAGACAAAUUAGAGGAUUUCCAAUAUUCUAGCUAACGGCCUUGAAGAACAAUGAUAUUACUUCUUUGGAGGGAACUGCAGCAGAAAAUCAUUCCAAAUCGAAGUUGAUCUCACAAAAAGAUUCUUCAGGUUGCAGAGUUUUAGGGGCCAUCAACUUUGACAUACACCAUAACAAGCCAGAAAUUGUAUGAUGAGUAAGUAUUUUCUGAAUCGAUUCAGAAUAACUUACACAUAAGACGGAUGCUUAUACGUUCGAAACAUCAACCACUGUAAGCUUAUGUGGCUUUGACGGCAGCGCCCGCCCCCUCAAGUGGUUCUAAGUACGGAGA